AUGAAGAAACUGAGUCCCAUAGAAAGGGAGAGUUUUGAAGACCCAAGGUCAAUCAAGAUGAUGGAUAAAGGACAACACCCAGCUGAACUGUUCUAAUAAUCCCUUCCAAACAACUUUAAAAUAGCACCUAAGAGCAAAUUCUGGAGUGGCAGAGCCAUCAACAAGUCUAGGAGCAUGAGAAGUUGAGACCUUAGAGGAGAGAAUGAAUACCCAAAGAAGGAGGAUGUGGAAAAUUUCUGGCCACCUCUAUUAUUGUAAGAAGUCUAACACAGUGAAAAUACCUGUAGCCUUUGAGCUUCAAGCUAAGGGAGCAGCGACAUAGCCCACUCCUCCCAUGGGGAAGAGAUAGCAUCCAGGAGAGGACUCAAGCUGAUGCUGGAAGCAGAGAGACUCCACGAGUUCAUGGCUGGUGAGAGCCAGUUGCAACCUUAGGACCAAACGAGCAAUGUAUGAGAAUAUCAGAUGGCUGAGAGCAACAAUACCAGGCAGAGAGUACAUGCCGUACCCACACACCCAAGAGAGACUUUACCCAGCCCAAGGAGAUAGCAUGCCACUCCAGACCAGCAGAGACAGGAAUACCAACAGAAAACAUCCGGGUUUUACAGCAUCAGGCAUCUUCCCUAGAGUUAUCUGCGGAGCUGAAGAUCCAUCCUUUCCCUAUGCCAACUACCUCUCCCCAUCCUUUCAUCUUGAUACAGCCUUUGGCCUUGCCAUUCCUCACUCCAUAUCCCUCUCUGUCCCUCCUGUCCCACUGUGUCCUCUGAAAUCCCCCAUUCCAAUUAUUAUUUUUAUUUUCAUUGAUGUUGUUUUUUUUAUAUUAUGUCUUUCCCCAUAUAUAUCCUCUCCCUUUAAAAUUAUCCUUUAAAACAAAGAAUAAAAAUGGCGGGGGGGGGGGAGCA
rnacentral:lncRNA from 1 species